UGUACUAGAAUCGAUAUCGAUUAGUCGCGAUGCGCAAUCGAUAUCGAUUCUAGUACAGU
rnacentral:pre_miRNA from 1 species